ensembl:lncRNA
GAAAUGUAUGACAAAAGGAUGCCAGGGACCUGCAUUGCUUAACUUGCAGUGACCUGUGUGCUUUUUGUAGCCGCCUUUGUGAGCUCCACUGGCAGCCAUACCAGCUGUGAAAUCUUCCGAGCAGUCUGGAAAACUACAUCAUAAACAAGAUAUUAACAGUCAUAUGAGAAGAUAAGAAAAACAUGAUGUGAAUUCUGCUCUGUGCCAUCCUAGAAGAUAUUUUUUGCUUAGGAAGCAUUGCCAUUUAGAGUGUCUCCUGCUGUUCCCAAUCUUUAGCUCUCUGAGAUGUGUCUAAUGCCCUGAGAAGCAGGGUUUGUGAAGGUUUUAAGUUUUCUGUGGUAGUCUAAAACAGUUACUUGUUGGAUGAAACCCCAGCCUUUCCAGUCAUGUUUACUGGGGAGAAUUUACCUGCUGUAGAGGGUGGCAUUAACAGAGAGAAGGGUGUCCAGCAGACAGAUAAGCGCCUACAGCUCCAGACUUGUAUCCUUUCCAUAGGGAGGUAUAAGAAAGCAUAUUCUGAGAGAAUAAGCAAGGAACAGGGAGAGAAAGAAGUGGUGCGUGUGUGUGGAAUUUAAUGAGGUGAGUUGCUUUUGACCUGGUUAAAUACUUGCUCAACUUUAUCUCCUACAAAGGAGGACAAGCUUGGCCUCUGUGGUCAUAAAUUGCCCUUAGGAUCCGCACACUGACAAGGCUGCUUUAUGCAAAGAACUUUUUUGCCCUUGCUAGCUAUUACGAUCAGUAGUGUAAUCUGCAAAUAUGUCAUGGCAUCAUACCUCCAGUGUGUGUACAGGUAUGUAAGAAAUUUGAGUAUAUGCUAGUGACUAUUGGUAUGCAAAAUACAGGCAGACGAGUCAGAUUUCAAGAAUUAACCAAAGCCUUGGUCAAGAAGUGCUUUGAGAGAGACCAUUGAUUUGCAAAGGGCAGCAGUGACUUCAGCCUCUGGCAAAUCAGUUACUCGGGAGCUCUCUUGACCACCCCAUGUCCCUGCAUUCAGCUCUGUAAGUCCUGAUGCCUCACUGCUUUGUUUGGAUUCAUCUUUAUUUCUCAGCUGUGCUGGUGGAUCUGAACUUUUGCCAGUGAGAGUAUAACUCUUUGUGAUCUGUUUCUCCGCUGAUAAGUUACAAAACCACUGCUUUGAGUAUGCUUUGUGGAUUGUUAACAGCUGGAGUAAGCUUGCAUUGCUUCAUUGGGCAAAUAAUUGCUUUAGUUUAGCUGGACUCACCACAGUUUGCAUUUGCCACAGAACAGGCACAUGUUCUUGUUCUCAAAUCUAUUCUGCUUACUUUACAUAUCACAGAUGUGUCUGAAUACUGAUGUGUGCCACACCUGUUUCUUAAUUUAAGACCAAUGAGUGUCUUUUGCUGUUCAUAAAAAUCAGCAUUUCCCUCAGAUGAAAGCUUGCGUCUACUGAUGCCAAUGAGAGCCACCUGCAUAUGUCUAACAUAAUUUAGUCACUGGUAAUACGCGACAAAAGAGAAAAAGAACAGGAAUUACCAUACUCCAGAUGGAACAAAACCAGAAAAGCAGUGCCAAUGAGAUAGCUGACCCUGUAUGAUGAAAUUAACUUUUCUUCCACUCAGUGAAUGGUGUAACGUAGUCAUUUUCCAGGUCCUUCUGUACAUUGCUGCUUCUGCUUCGUCUACAGCAAGCACUGCAGAGAAUCAUAGCAGAGUUUUAAAGAAUUCCAAUUUUCAUCUCUUUUCUUACAGCAGGAACUUAUUCUUUUAAAUAUAGUAAUUUAAGCAGGAAAGGAAUAGCUUGAGCGUAAAGUUGAUGUUGUGAUAUUUCAGUAUCACAAAUGGUUUAACUUAAUCUGCAUGUUUAAGUGUUUUUUAAAAAAAAACUUGAAAAAGUUAGGUCAAAAUCUGGCUGCUUUGCCAUCUCAUAGUACAUGUAAACAAGUCUCAGCAUUAGUGUUCUCUCCACAGCACAAGUAAAGUGGCCAUUUCCGUCAGCAAGGAAUUUACCACUUCUCGCACCAUGGUUUAAUGUUGCAGAUAACUUAAUUCUCAACAAAACUGCUGUGCCUGAUUUUGCAAUUGAUUGGUUCCAUUGACUCCAAGCAGUGUACUUGUGAAGUAAAAUGCUAUGUUGAAGAGCUUACAGAAUCAACUGCACUAAAUUACUGGUAAAUAGGAAUCAAAGCAAUGUUCAGAGCAAAGAGCUCAUUUAAAAAAAAACAAAGGUACUUAUCAAUUAUUAGUUUAACUAUAAAAACAACCCUUAGUUCAUCAGUCCUUGUGGUAUAAAGAGAUGUGUUGGCUUGUGAAUGUGGACAUUUGGUUCAAAAUAGCAAAUAGAAAAUGAAAUAAUUGUCUUGUUUAUUUUUUUUUCUGUCUAAAUCAAAGUUGAUAAGUGUUUAGGGGAACUCAGCUUAGUCUGAAGCACUUUCAUGUGUAAUGCUGGUGUCUUGCUCUAUUAUCCUCUGAAGCUGCUUGUUAUUGUGGCUGGAAUGAUCUUUAUUGCACCCUCUAUACUGACAAGGACAAAUUCUGAAAUAGGAUUUUAAAACAAAUGGUUAAAAAACCUUAACUUUAUACACAGUGACUGUUUUACUUUUUUUUUAAAAUAGCUUUCUCUUACCCUGAAUAACAGGCUUCACUAUUAAAAAAAAAAAAGGCGGUGAUAGAUCCUGUGCAUUGGAAAUGUAACCAAGGUUAAUUGUAGCGGGGUCAUGGCAACUGUAAUGAACCACAGUGUUUAUAAUGCUAAAAAUGUCCCUUUCAGAAGAUAAAUAUAAUCUGUGAAUGUUUUAUAAUGAUUUUGCAAGGAAGGUCAUAAUCACCAGGAUGGCUUGAUGCUGGGGUUUCAGUACUGCCUCAGGGUUCCUGUUCUGUGCUCACCCAGUGAGCACAGAGGGAAGGAGAAUCAGUGAGUGGGAGAGGGAUGUGUCCUUGUGAGCCCCUCCUGCCCGCAAGCAAUGGGACCUCCUUGUAUGUCCACUUGUUGAACGAGCUUAGGGAACAAGCAGCAGGUAAAGCGGCUUGUUUUGUUUGGUUAACUCUCGGACGGAGCAUAUGCUGCGGUGUCUGAAUGAUGCACAAGAACUGGUAGGGCAGAAGCACGAGGCAGUGGUUUGAUUUGCUACUUUACAGGCUCUGCGCUGGCUUGAAGUGACAAAUGGCACCAGUUACACACUUGGGUGAAGACUGACUGCUGCUGAAGGGUGGUCUUUUUCCUUCUACCUAUGUUUCUACUAUUGAUUUUGUGUUGUGCCACAUUUACAUGGCUGCAAGAAUAAUCAGAUUAAUUAGCUAAUCUAAUGGAAGAGUGACCUGGUCAGUGAUCUGCAGCAAACUGACCUGUUUUACUGCAUGUCUCUACACUUAAUACUUUGCCUGCAAAAACCUACACUUCAGUUGGCUUAAGGGGGUUUUGAACCCACUUUUAAAGGCAGCUUGCAUCCCAUUUCUGUACUUAUUCUGAGAUGCAGUGGUCUUUGACUUUGCAGGUUAUACCUGCACCUAAAUAUAGGUGACAGCUUUUGGCCUGUAGGUGCUCAAGAGCUGUUGCUGCUUGGUCCCCCUCAUCUUGUGAGGGCCACAUUGUCUCAGUGAGCGGUUGAUACCACCUGGGUAACUGGUGCAUGGUGUGUCAUCAACAUAUGUUCUAAUAAAUUUGUGAUUUAAAGAUCUUAGCUACUUUUU